AAAAGGAAGGGAAUUCUGAUACAUGCUACAAUAUCGAUGGACCUUGAGAACAUUCUGCUAAGGGAAAUAAAUCAGUCACAAAAAGAUAAGUACUGUAUGACUCCACUUCUAUGAGGUCCCUAGAGUAGUCAAAGUCAUAGAGACAGAAAAUAGAAUGGAGGCUGGAAAGGGGAG